UACGGAGGAUGCGAGCGUUAUCCGGAUUUAUUGGGUUUAAAGGGUGCGUAGGCGGACUGUCAAGUCAGCGGUAAAAUUGAGAGGCUCAACCUCUUCCCGCCGUUGAAACUGGUGGUCUUGAGUGGAUGAGAAGUACGCGGAAUGCGUGGUGUAGCGGUGAAAUGCAUAGAUAUCACGCAGAACCCCGAUUGCGAAGGCAGCAUGCCGGCUUCCUACUGACGCUGAAGCACGAAAGCGUGGGGAUCGAACAGG
rnacentral:rRNA from 1 species